rnacentral:rRNA from 1 species
AAGACCUUGCGCGAAUGGAGUGGCCGAUGUCAGAUUAGCUAGUUGGUGGGGUAAAGGCCCACCAAGGCGACGAUCUGUAGCGGGUCUGAGAGGAUGAUCCGCCACACUGGGACUGAGACACGGCCCAGACUCCUACGGGAGGCAGCAGUGGGGAAUUUUGGACAAUGGGCGCAAGCCUGAUCCAGCCAUGCCGCGUGCGGGACGAAGGCCUUCGGGUUGUAAACCGCUUUCAGCCGGAAAGAAAUCGCUUUUCCUAAUACGGGAAGUGGAUGACCGAAAGAAGAAGCACCGGCUAACUACGUGCCAGCAGCCGCGGUAAUACGUAGGGUGCGAGCGUUAAUCGGAAUUACUGGGCGUAAAGGGUGCGCAGGCGGUUUUGUAAGCCAGACGUGAGMUCCCCGGGCUUAACCUGGGAACU